rnacentral:rRNA from 1 species
AUGAACAAGAGUCUGAUCUUAAGAGAAAAGUUCAAUGCUGAAGAUUUGUUUUUUCAUAAAGAUGCAUUUUCUCUGUUGGUUUCAUUCUGUGCAAUGCUUAGCCCUCUUAUUCUACCCAAGAAAGAAAUAAUGGAUUUUUUUUCCUGUUCAACUUCAUCUUGUGAACAUGCUUUGUUUAUUAUCUACGCCCCAGGAUGUAAAGUUAUUUCGCUAUUUCAUCACAGCUUCGAAGUGAAAGAAACAAUUGAUUUGCUAAUUCUCAUCAAGAUUGGAAUUAGCAAAGUCUCAUUUAACACCUUGGAACGACCAACCUAA